GGUGCAUCCGGUGAGCUUACCUUCGGGGAUGCUGGUAUGGUCUUGGAGAGCGAGUCAGCGACGGCGGUGGCGCUGCAGAGGGAGGCGUGGAGGGCGAGGAACUGCUCAACGGCUGACUGCGGCCUCUCCUCCUUGGCGCAGGUACUUAGCUCUGCAUACAUACUGCAAGUGAAGCAAUGAAGUGAUCUAUUGCAUUAUGAUUCAGGUUUGUCAAUAGUUAGAAGAAACAGUUAAUAGAAAAUCUAACUAGCAUCAACUUCCAGGGGAUGAAAAUUUCGUCUCUGAUUUAAAAUAUAGGUAGAGAUUGUUUUCAUAAUUCGAACCUGGUCACCAUAAGGAGCCUCAUUCUUAGAAACUUCAUAUCAUACCGAAGAGAAAUAAAUAUAUGAUGCAAAGGAUUCACAUUUCAAGAACAAGAAAUCAGUUGGCUGUUAGAUGAACACUUUGCGCUUAGACCAAUCCUUUUGGGUGCCUUCAUUCUUAGAGACUGGAGUAGGAGAAUCUAAAAUUCAUUUGCAAUUUCAAAAUUUUGAAGAGGAGUAAAACUUUUAGUACCAAAACUAUUGCCUCAACAACAAGGAUGAUAUUAGAGGGAAAACUUCGGCCUAGUAAAGCACUCAGAUUUCCUUUUCUGCCUAGCAACAUUUGACACUCUUGCACCAGUGUUUCAUGAACAAAACAGUAAAUGAUUGAUUUGAUUGUUUGCACUUUGCCACCGGAUACAAAUAGUGUUCACAGUCAUCAUAAUGACUUCCAGAACUGAACUAGCACUAGACAUAGCAAUCACAGGGGGGGAGGAAAAAAACGAAAAAAGUAAAGUCCAAAGGUCCUCAUUAAUUGUGAGUGCAGCAAGCAAAUUUGUUUUUUUUCAAAGAUGUUAGACUAGAAAAAACUAAGAACUUAAUGAGAAAAUUUACAUCAUUAAGAAUCAGCUAACUAACAUUUUCCAACAUUUGCCUGAGAAAUUAAGCUAAAAAGCUGAUGAAGCUGUUAAAAUUUUCAAAUUGGUAAUACUCAAAAAGUAUAAUUUCUCAUAGAUAAAGCUAACGAAUAAAAAAUGGUCAUCAUGUGAUAAAUUCAUAAAUAAUGGUUUAGAAGUACAAUGCAAAAACUUUCUAUCACAAGAUGUUCAUGUUAGAUACUAAGAUAUCUCAAGCUACGCUAAAAUAUAGAUCACAGCGUCCAAGUAGAUAAAACUAGAUCUUUGUGAAGAGAAGAAAAUGGAACAUGAAAGAUACUUUAACAUGCGAGAUCUCAAUUCCAUGGAUGGUUUCAUCAGUUAAAAAAAGCAUAGAACAGCUAAUUUUGUGAAGAUAAUUACCUUAAGCACCGAAUUAAGCUCUCCGAAGCAGAAGCUUCUUGUAUAGCCUCAACAGCAGCAAGUUGUGCUGCAUCCUUAUACUUCAAAAGCUCCUAAAUUUUAUAAAUAUUCAGUUAGUAUAAAUUAUAGCCAAACAGCAUGACUAGGAUAUUUUUAAUAAAAAAAUAAAAAUUCUUCAUCGAGACCAAGUCGUGCACAAAGAGUGGUUCAUGUGUUGGCCUAGAGUUGGUGCAAUUUAUGCCUAGGUAGCACCUAAUAAUUUUAUAUAAUGAUUAGGAUAAUAAUAUGGUAUGUUUCGAAAACACAAAUAAAGUAGGGAACAAUUGCAAACAUCUUAUAAUAGUGGCAAAAUUUUGUCAUAUUACAUAGUAUUAUUAGUCAUACCUUUCCUAGUUUUACUAGAGAUGAUGGAAGUGAUGCCCAUGAUAUGCUGCCGUCUGUCCAUUUUCUGUUAGUAGGAACAACUUUGACUAAAUUAGCAAGAUUUAGACUGUUACAAGACUUUGGCGACUUCUUUACAACAGAAGUCUUAUGUUUAGCUGAUUUCUCAGAAUCAUCUUCAGCAGCACUUGUGAUGUCUUUGUUAACAGGACUUUGAAUCUUGCAAUCCUCCUUAAGUAGCAGUUUCUCAUUCAUUGAUGACCUCUGUCGAGGAGCCUGCAAGUUAACAAUACAUGCUAAGGGGAUCUCAUUUUAACCUUGAUAGUUCAGGUAUUACAAGUGCAUAGGUUGGUGCACAUAUUGUGACACUGCACUAGCAUACAUUCUUAUCUAGUUUCUUCAGUAUUCUAUUUUGUAACUCAACAAAAACUCCACAUAAAUAAUCGACCUGUAUUCUAUAGAGAGUUAGAUGAGUAUCCAAUUACUUUAUAUCUAUAGCUUCUACAGCAUGACUUUCACAUAAGCAGAGAAAUGGUCACAAUGAAAAUAUUAGAAUCGUCUUCUAUAAACUAACUAUUAACUUCAUUCUUUCCACUAAAAACAAACAAAGAAUAAAGCAGAUAUAGCACCUAGCUUUGAAAAAUCCAUAGUGUUACCCAAACUGAUAGCAACUGAAAAAUUAUAUUGAAAAAUCAGUUAGAUCAACUCAUAAAAUUAACUCACAGAAGCACUCCUGGAUUCAGUUCUCAUCUCGAGCUUGGCUAUUUUGGUGAUAGAACUACCCCUUCUCUUUACCUCCACAUUCCCCUCCCAGCUCUUCCUCAAUGCCUUUGGCACUAACCCAAUGCUUGGCACCAUAUUUCCCUGUAAGCUCCUGGCAGAGGACUUCCUUCCAGCACUGGUCACUUUCAAGACAGACGCUGCCUUCUCCAACAAACCCACCCUUGAUAAUGUGGGUUUCUCCAGUCUUUUGGCUUGUGCUUGCUUCUUGAUUUCACUGGAGAACAUCUCAAAUGAUCCAGGCAAAGAAUAGACACUUGUUGGAGAUGAAGGCAUUGACCUCAAGUGCAUUGAUUUUGAUCUCACACUGAUAGAAACCUUCUUUUCCAGUUUGCCAGUGACCAAUUGUUUUGAAAGUAAAGAGCUUGACCUGCUAAGUGAAGCCCUUUUCUUUUCUACCUCCUGCAUUUUAAUAGGUAACUUUGAGUUGCCCAACUUGCUCCUGUCAUUUUCUGAAGAUUUGUUGCUGUUAUGCUUUGAGUAAUUGGAUGACUUUGGUUUCUCAGGAUUGAGGAAACCAAGAGAACUGGUGGCUACGAGAUCCUCAGGGUUCCCGACACAUGGAUGACGACCAGGAAGUGGCCUCGCACCCUUAAGAAUGGGCACAGGGGAGCCUGCCUCAAGACAGUCAACAUGAAU
rnacentral:lncRNA from 1 species